rnacentral:rRNA from 1 species
GCGGAGGAAAAGAAAAUAACAAUGAUUCCCCUAGUAACGGCGAGUGAAGAGGGAAGAGCUCACAGUUGGAAUCUGGCUGUCUUAGAUAGUCCGAGUUGUAAACUGAAAAAGUGUUUUCCAGGCUAGCCGAGUAAAAAAGUUCCUUGGAAUAGGACAUCAUGGAGGGUGAGAAUCCCGUCUUUGGCUUGAGCAUAGUCUUUUGUGUUGCACUUUAAAGAGUCAGGUUGUUUGGGAAUGCAGCCUAAAGUGGGAGGUAAAUCCCUCCUAAAGCUAAAUAUUGGCGAGAGACCGAUAGCAAACAAGUACCGUGAGGGAAAGAUGAAAAGAACUUUGAAAAGAGAGUUAAACAGUAUGUGAAAUUGCUAAAAGGGAAGCGUUUGAAGACAGACUUGCUUGUCUACAAUCAGCCUGGGCUUUUGUCUUGGUGUACUUGUGGACUAUGCUUGCCAACAUCAGUUUGGCCUGGCUGAAAAAACUGGCAGUAAGGUGGCUUCUCCGGAAGUGUUAUAGACUGUCAGAAAAUCAGUUGGRCUGGACUGAGGAAUGCAAUGCAGCUUGACCCUGUGGUCAACUUGGUUGGAUUGGAACCAUUGUUCCGUGAAGGCCAGGGUAGCUACUUGAACUGUAUUUAGGUUGUUGGCUUAAUGUCUUUAAACUGC